rnacentral:rRNA from 1 species
GACGAACGCUGGCGGCGUGCUUAACACAUGCAAGUCGAACGGAAAGGCCCUGCUUUUGUGGGGUGCUCGAGUGGCGAACGGGUGAGUAACACGUGAGUAACCUGCCCUUGACUUUGGGAUAACUUCAGGAAACUGGGGCUAAUACCGGAUAGGAGCUCCUGCUGCAUGGUGGGGGUUGGAAAGUUUCGGCGGUUGGGGGUGGACUCGCGGCUUAUCAGCUUGUUGGUGGGGGAGUGGCUUACCAAGGCUUUGACGGGUAGCCGGCCUGAGAGGGUGACCGGCCACAUUGGGACUGAGAUACGGCCCAGACUCCUCCGGGAGGCAGCAGUGGGGAAUAUUGCACACUGGGCGGAAGCCUGAUGCAGCAACGCCGCGUGCGGGAUGACGGCCUUCGGGUUGUAACCCGCUUUCGCCUGUGACGAAGCGUGAGUGACGGUAAUGGGUAAAGAAGCACCGGCUAACUACGUG